CAAUAGAGACCUUCACUAUUGGUGGUUAUUUAGGAACUUAUCAUGGUUACUGUCAUUGUGCAUAUUAUUGUGUUGUCUAUUUUGAUUCUAGUCAUGUACACAUCCUACGAAGAGGACAAAAUAGGAUUAGAUCGUUGUGUAAUCCUGAACAUUGCAAAGGGCUAGUGGAAGCAUCAGAAAAUACUGGAUCCCAUCACCAGAACGACUCUCCUUCCUGAGAAUUAUGUAAUGCUGACCAUUGCAGAGGGCUAGUGGAGAGCAUCAGAAAAUACCGGAACCCAUCACCAAAAUGACU
rnacentral:lncRNA from 1 species